UACGAAGGGGGCUAGCGUUGUUCGGAAUUACUGGGCGUAAAGCGCGCGUAGGCGGUUACUUAAGUCGGAUGUGAAAGCCCUCGGCUUAACUGAGGAAGUGCACCCGAAACUGAGUAGCUAGAGUACGAAAGAGGGUCGCGGAAUUCCCGGUGUAGAGGUGAAAUUCGUAGAUAUCGGGAGGAACACCGGUGGCGAAGGCGGCGACCUGGGUCGAGACUGACGCUGAGGCGCGAAAGCGUGGGGAGCAAACAGG
rnacentral:rRNA from 1 species